ACUCAACACUUAUCAACCUGAAUAUUCUUACACAUCUGCUGGACGGAGUAGCUGAAGGAGGUGUGCAUUCUGGGGCCCAGCAGUCAAAAUGAGUUCUAAUCAAACUCCCUUCACUGUGCUGGUGAGUGCACCCAGUGGAAACACGAACUACAAGGCUUAUGCUGCUGUUAAAGGGAGCCUCUUUGGGGCACUGGUGAGGCUGAAAUACUCGGAUCAAAAUUUCAACUUCGCCUACAUAGCCAAUGACGACUAUGGACCAUUCCUCCAGAGUGUGAAUGGUUUGGCAGGAGAUUCAUC